rnacentral:misc_RNA from 1 species
ACAAACUUGGUCAUUUAGAGGAAGUAAAAGUCGUAACAAGGUUUCCGUAGGUGAACCUGCGGAAGGAUCAUUAACGGCUCAGGGCUCCUGCUGGAGUCCGAACCUCCCAACCCUUCUGAAAAUUUAAAACAUCUGUUGCUUUGGCGGGUCGGUGGCCCCGCGCUCCACCGGCCUCUGGCUGGUGAGUGCCCGCCAGAGAUUUUUCAAAUUCGUUUUGAAAUGCAGUCUGAUAUCUUGAAUAUGAAUGCCAAAAACUUUCAACAACGGAUCUCUUGGUUCUGGCAUCGAUGAAGAACGCAGC